rnacentral:rRNA from 1 species
AGUGAACGCUGGCGGUAGGCCUAACACAUGCAAGUCGAACGGCAGCACAGUAAGAGCUUGCUCUUACGGGUGGCGAGUGGCGGACGGGUGAGGAAUACAUCGGAAUCUACUUUUUCGUGGGGGAUAACGUAGGGAAACUUACGCUAAUACCGCAUACGACCUACGGGUGAAAGCAGGGGAUCUUCGGACCUUGCGCGAUUGAAUGAGCCGAUGUCGGAUUAGCUAGUUGGCGGGGUAAAGGCCCACCAAGGCGACGAUCCGUAGCUGGUCUGAGAGGUUGAUCGGCCACACUGGAACUGAGACACGGUCCAGACUCCUACGGGAGGCAGCAGUGGGGAAUAUUGGACAAUGGGCGCAAGCCUGAUCCAGCCAUACCGCGUGGGUGAAGAAGGCCUUCGGGUUGUAAAGCCCUUUUGUUGGGAAAGAAAAGCAGCAGGUUAAUACCCCGCUGUUCUGACGGUACCCAAAGAAUAAGCACCGGCUAACUUCGUG